AACGAACGCUGGCGGCAUGCCUAACACAUGCAAGUCGAACGAGACCUUCGGGUCUAGUGGCGCAUGGGUGCGUAACGCGUGGGAUCCUGCCCUUAGGUUCGGAAUAACUCUCCGAAAGGGGUGCUAAUACCGGAUAAUGUCUUCGGACCAAAGAUUUAUCGCCUUUGGAUGGGCCAGCGUUGGAUUAGCUAGUUGGUAGGGUAAAAGCCUACCAAGGCGACGAUCCAUAGCUGGUCUGAGAGGAUGAUCAGCCACACUGGGACUGAGACACGGCCCAGACUCCUACGGGAGGCAGCAGUGGGGAAUAUUGGACAAUGGGCGAAAGCCUGAUCCAGCAAGGCCGCGUGAGUGAUGAAGGCCUUAGGGUUGUAAAGCUCUUUUACCCGGGAUGAUAAUGACAGUACCGGGAGAAUAAGCUCCGGCUAACUCCGUG
rnacentral:rRNA from 1 species